rnacentral:rRNA from 1 species
UUUAUGGAGAGUUUGAUCCUGGCUCAGGAUGAACGCUGGCGGCGUGCCUAAUACAUGCAAGUCGAGCGAACGGAUGAGAAGCUUGCUUCUCUGAUGUUAGCGGCGGACGGGUGAGUAACACGUGGAUAACCUACCUAUAAGACUGGGAUAACUUCGGGAAACCGGAGCUAAUACCGGAUAAUAUUUUGAACCGCAUGGUUCAAAAGUGAAAG